AGUGAAGCGGCAACAGCUCAAAUUUGAAAUCUGGCCUUCGGGUCCGAGUUGUAAUUUGUAGAGGAUGCUUUCGGCGCGGUGCCUUCCGAGUUCCCUGGAACGGGACGCCUUAGAGGGUGAGAGCCCCGUACGGUUGGACACCAAGCCUCUGUAAAGCUCCUUCGACGAGUCGAGUAGUUUGGGAAUGCUGCUCUAAAUGGGAGGUAAAUUUCUUCUAAAGCUAAAUAUUGGCCAGAGACCGAUAGCGCACAAGUAGAGUGAUCGAAAGAUGAAAAGCACUUUGAAAAGAGGGUUAAAUAGCACGUGAAAUUGUUGAAAGGGAAGCGUUUGCGACCAGACCUUUUCCUAGCGGAUCAUCCGGUGUUCUCACCGGUGCACUUCGCUAGGUCGAGGCCAGCAUCGGUUUUCGUAGGGGGAUAAAAGCCUUGGGAACGUAGCUCCUUCGGGAGUGUUAUAGCCCUUGGCAUAAUACCCUUGCGGGGACCGAGGACCGCGCUUUUUUGCAAGGAUGCUGGCGUAAUGGUCGUCAACGACCCGUCUUGAAACACGGACCAAGGAGUCGAACAUUUGUGCGAGUGUUUGGGUGUUAAACCCUCACGCGUAAUGAAAGUGAACGGAGGUGAGAGCCCUUACGGGUGCAUCAUCGACCGAUCCUGAUGUCUUCGGAUGGAUUUGAGUAAGAGCAUAACUGUUCGGACCCGAAAGAUGGUGAACUAUGCGUGGAUAGGGUGAAGCCAGAGGAAACUCUGGUGGAGGCUCGCAGCGGUUCUGACGUGCAAAUCGAUCGUCAAAUCUGCGCAUGGGGGCGAAAGACUUAUCGAACCAUCUAGUAGCUGGUUACCGCCGAAGUUUCCCUCAGGAUAGCAGUGUUGUUCUUCAGUUUUAUGAGGUAAAGCGAAUGAUUAGGGACUCGGGGGCGCUUUUUAGCCUUCAUCCAUUCUCAAACUUUAAAUAUGUAAGAAGCCCUUGUUACUUAAUUGAACGUGGGCAUUCGAAUGUACCAACACUAGUGGGCCAUUUUUGGUAAGCAGAACUGGCGAUGCGGGAUGAACCGAACGCGGGGUUAAGGUGCCGGAGUGGACGCUCAUCAGACACCACAAAAGGUGUUAGCACAUUUAGACAAUAGGACGGUGGCCAUGGAAGUCGGAAUCCGCUAAGGACUGUGUAACAACUCACCUAUCGAAUGUGCUAGCCCUGAAAAUGGAUGGCGCUCAAGCGUCCCACCCAUACCUCGCCCUCAGGGUAGAAACGAUGCCCUGAGGAGUAGGCGGCC
rnacentral:rRNA from 1 species